rfam:Brugia pahangi genome assembly, scaffold: BPAG_scaffold0000259
ACGUCUAUGAUGAGAAAAUCAUCCUUGCUCUGCGAGCUCGUUUGUGAAAUUGAAAAUUUCGGAAUUGAGCAGUGAACAGCUUUGGCCUCUGAGACGU